AGGCACAACUUCCGUGCUGGGGCCAGUGCCGGUUUCGGCGCCUGUACCUUCACUGGUAAUCUUUGGUGAUUUUUUCUUGAAUUCAAGAUCGUCCUUCUUCGAGGAGGAUUUUUUCUUGCGCUUGCGGGCGUUGGGGCCGGAGUGGUACUCACCGAUGGAGACGACGGUGAUGGUGCAGUUUUCGGCGGAGCGGGAGAGGAUGAAGCGGCGGUAGUCCUUGUAGAAGGCGGCGCGCUUGGCGUCCUUGGGGCGGAAACGCCAGGCCAUGUCGCAGGAGGCGGGGUCGGAGGCGGCGCCGCGGACGGCCUUGCCGAAGCGGUAGAAGUGGAUAUCAGGGAAAUGCUCGAUGGCGGCGCGCAUCAUGAUGUGGAAGGUGUCGGGAUCGGUGCAGUCAAUGGGGGAGGAGGGGUCGCAUUCGAGUUCGGUGGAGUCGGGAGUGGAGGUGUCGGAGGAGACGUCGGAGAGGAGGAUGGAGGGGGCAUCCGUGGUGUUGGGCUGGAGGAAGUCUUCGCCGGUGCGGAGGACGGAGUCGUCGGAGCGGAAGGUGGAGUUAGGGAGGGUGGAAGUGAGGAAGGAGGUGAGGCGGGAGGAGGAGGGGUGGAGGAGGGGGUCGGCGGGACGGUAGGUGGCGGCGAUGAGGGUGAAGACGAGGACGGCGAGGACGAAGAGGGCGAAGCAGAGGUUGGUGAUGGUACGGAGGGCGGAGUGGCCGAGAGAGUCGGCAUUGAAGGACGGGGAGUGGCCGAGGCCGGGGCGGCCGAGCAUGGCGGCGGGCGGCGGGCGGCGGGCGGCGGGCGGCG
rnacentral:misc_RNA from 1 species